rnacentral:rRNA from 1 species
AUUGAACGCUGGCGGAAUGCUUUACACAUGCAAGUCGAACGGCAGCACGGGGCAACCUGGUGGCGAGUGGCGAACGGGUGAGUAAUAUAUCGGAACGUGCCCAAUCGUGGGGGGAUAACGUAGCGAAAGUUACGCUAAUACCGCAUACGAUCUACGGAUGAAAGCGGGGGAUCGCAAGGCCUCGCGCGAAUGGAGCGGCCGAUAUCAGAUUAGGUAGUUGGUGGGGUAAAGGCUCACCAAGCCAACGAUCUGUAGCUGGUCUGAGAGGACGACCAGCCACACUGGAACUGAGACACGGUCCAGACUCCUACGGGAGGCAGCAGUGGGGAAUUUUGGACAAUGGGCGCAAGCCUGACGCAGCAACGCCGCGUGUGUGACGAAGGCCCUUGGGUUGUAAAGCACUGUGGGCAGGGAAGAAAAACGGGGUUGUACCCGUCUUGACGGUACCUGUUUAGAAAGCACCGGCUAACUCCGUGCCAGCAGCCG